AAGGCUUUAGCUUAAUUAAAGUAUCUGUUUUGCAUACAGAAGCUGUAGGUUAAUGUCCUGCAAGUCUUA
rnacentral:tRNA from 1 species